rnacentral:rRNA from 1 species
GUGCUUACCAUGCAAGUCGAACGGUGAACACGGAGCUUGCUCUGUGGGAUCAGUGGCGAACGGGUGAGUAACACGUGAGCAACCUGCCCCUGACUCUGGGAUAAGCGCUGGAAACGGCGUCUAAUACUGGAUAUGUGACGUGACCGCAUGGUCUGCGUCUGGAAAGAAUUUCGGUUGGGGAUGGGCUCGCGGCCUAUCAGCUUGUUGGUGAGGUAAUGGCUCACCAAGGCGUCGACGGGUAGCCGGCCUGAGAGGGUGACCGGCCACACUGGGACUGAGACACGGCCCAGACUCCUACGGGAGGCAGCAGUGGGGAAUAUUGCACAAUGGGCGCAAGCCUGAUGCAGCAACGCCCCCUGAGGGACCACGGCCUUCCGGUUGUAAACCUCCUUUAACAAGGAAA